CUAGCGAACCCCUUCUGAUAACACAGAGAGGCCCAUCCGUUCUGGCCCCCACCCAGCCGCAUGCACAGAAUAGGCUUAUUAUGACAUCUAUCUGAAUGUCAGUGACCAAAGCCUAGGGCUGGUGAACAGUUCGGAUGGAGGAGGCUUGGAAGCCAUCCUUCAAUUUACCAGCAGCAUGAAGGAACCCAUCCCUAGACAGUCAUCUCCCACACAUCUCUGCCCUGGGAUAUGGGGCUCUGAGGGUCCCUGGACUCCUGCCUCCCCAUUUGGAGCCCCCAGUGGGGUAUGGAAAUAACACCAAUAAGCAGAAGGUCAAGUUCGUCUUGAAGGAAACGUACAAGAUACAGACAAGGAUGCGGGAGAGAACGUAAACGCUAGCUUAUGUUACACUCUGUUAGACUCAGGAGCUGCCAUUCGCUCUGGUGUCAGAAGCUGCAGUUGGAAUUUAUUCUUGCCCCUCUCGGCAUUUCCCCCACCCCUGAAAAUGCCUGUGAUGUUGCCAUUUUUAAUUGCUCUGUGAUGUUCCUUCCUGUGUCAGCUUUCAUGGCUCUCUUCCUAUGGGAAUCGACUCCCUUCUAGUUUCCCACCUAUCACAAGGAUGCCACAGGUGUUUGCACACCCCCGAUGCACCGCUGUGGUCAGUCUUCGUGGUGUCCGUGGAGUAGCAUCCCUAAGACAAUGACACUGAGUGCUCUUAUCACAUGCUUCCAGCUCCCAUAUGCAGACAGCUCCAUCUGGACACCCACCCUCAGGCCCCAAGGAUACUGGCCUCCCCUACCAGGGACCAGUACAUCAGGAAAAAAUUCCCUCUAUGCCACGAAUUACCAUGGGAAAACAUUGCUCGUCGAAGGCCAGGAGGAGGUGGCCUCUUGUUGUGCCUGCCAGGCACAUCGCCGUCUCCCAGGGUGCACUCCUGAAGCAGGCUAGCCCGGGUGACAUGCCUAUGUACCUCACUCAGGCUCCCAAGUCACAGAACAAUGCUCUGUCCACAAACAAUCAUGUUUUGAAAAACAAACAGAGAGAGCGUGGCUGGUACUUUCCCAAUCCUUUCCACUUCCUGGAAAUGUGAGAUAAUGAAUAAAAAUGUUCAUUACUGAA